GCGAGCUCAGGGGGACAGGGACCAGCUGCUGUUGCCGCCGUUCUCAGGGUGAAGAAAAGCCAGAAAUCUUUGCCCCCUGACUUUGGAAACCCAGUUUAACCUUCAAAUUGGCGAUGUCAAGGGUUCCAAGUCCUCCGCCUCCGGCAGAAAUGUCGAGUGGUCCCGUGGUCGAGAGCUGGUGCUAUACACAGUUGUUUGCGAGUAAACCCAAAAGGGCUGGAUGAAGAAAGCCAAGAUUACCUGUCACUUUACCUGUUAUUGGUCAGUUGUCCAAAGAGUGAAGUUCGGGUAAAGUUCAAGUUCUCCAUCCUGAAUGCCAAGGGAGAAGAAACCAAAGCUAUGGAGAGUCAGCGAGCUUAUAGGUUCAUGCAAGGCAAAGAACGGGGAUUCAAAAAAUUUAUUCGUAGAGAUUUUCUCUUGGAUGAGACCAAUGGGCUUCUCCCUGAUGACAAGCUCACCCUCUUCUGUGAGGUGAGUGUAGUACAAGAUUCCGUCAAUAUUUCUGGACAGAAUACCAUGAACACGAUAAAGGUUCCUGAGUGCCGGCUGGCAGAUGAAUUAGGAGGGCUGUGGGAGAAUUCUCAAUUCACAGACUGCUGCCUGUGUGUGGCUGGCCAAGAAUUCCAGGCUCACAAGGCCAUCCUAGCAGCUCGGUCUCCAGUUUUCAGUGCCAUGUUUGAACACGAAAUGAAGGAGAGCAAAAAGAAUCGGGUUGAAAUUAACGACGUGGAACCUGAAGUUUUCAAGGAAAUGAUGUGCUUCAUUUACACGGGGAAGGCUCCAAACCUUGACAAAAUGGCUGAUGAUUUGCUGGCAGCUGCUGACAAGUAUGCCCUG